CCGGCGACCGGCGCACGGGUGAGUAACGCGUAUGCGACCUGCCCCCCGCAGGGGGAUAACCGGGAGAAAUCCCGACUAAUACCGCGUAACGCCGCGGACCUGCAUGGUCUGCGGCCAAAGGAAGCGAUUCCGGCGGGGGAUGGGCAUGCGGCGCAUUAGCUAGUCGGCGGGGUAACGGCCCACCGAGGCGACGAUGCGUAGGGGUUCUGAGAGGAAGGUCCCCCACACUGGUACUGAGACACGGACCAGACUCCUACGGGAGGCAGCAG
rnacentral:rRNA from 1 species